AUGGUUUUCAUGGCUGAGAGUAGAGACAACUUGGCAGUAAGAAUUAUUCCUAACUCAAUUGUUUAUUUCCUUUAAAAUUAUUUAUUUUUAGUUUCACAAAAUAUUAAAAAAGAUUCGUAGUUAAUGUUGCAGUUGGAUUUGGAAAGAAACAAACUAGCCCAGUAUGCGAUUCAGUUUAUGGUGCAGAGGAGGGUGAUACGUGUACUUUUGUCAUUGAAAAGUUCAAUUUGAGUUUUGAUUUCUUCCUUUCUAUCAACCCUAAUAUCAAUUGCAACAACUUCUUUGUGGGUCAACGGCUUUGUACUGAAGGGACUGCAACUGAGCUUCGAGUUUAG
rnacentral:lncRNA from 1 species